CAGUAGUCAUAUGCUUGUCUCAAAGACUAAGCCAUGCAUGUCUAAGUUUAAGCGAUUUAAACGGUGAGACUGCGGACGGCUCAUUAUAUCAGUUAUAGUUUAUUUGAUGGUCGAUUACUACAAGGAUAACCGUAGGAAUUCUAGAGCUAAUACUUGCACUUCAAGGUGAUUUAAUCAUCACCUGCACUUAUUAGAUUUACCACCAAUGCUCUUCGGAGCUUCGGUGAUUCAUAGUAAUUUAGCGGAUCGCUACGACUUCGGUCGCGACGCUUCAUUCAAAUUUCUGCCCUAUCAGCUUUCGAUGGUAGUGUAUUGGACUACCAUGGCUUUGACGGGUAACGGAGAAUUAGGGUUCGAUUCCGGAGAGGGAGCCUGAGAAACGGCUACCACAUCUAAGGAAGGCAGCAGGCGCGCAAAUUACCCAAUCCCAACGCGGGGAGGUAGUGACAAGAAAUAACAACAACUAACCUAUUUCAGGUGAGUUGAUUGGAAUGAGUACAAUCUAAACACCUUAACGACUAUCCAUUGGAGGGCAAGCCUGGUGCCAGCAGCCGCGGUAAUUCCAGCUCCAAUAGCGUAUACUAAUGUUGUUGCAGUUAAAAAGCUCGUAGUCGGAUUUCAGUAGGCUCAGUUUAGUCUUCAUUGUAAGAUCUAUAUGGGCCUGCUUCUUUGACAGAAACUUCUAUGUUAUUCAUUUAGCGUGGGCAGCGACUGUCUCUUUUACUUUGAGAAAAUUAGAGUGUUCAAAGCAGGUAGAUGCCUGAAUAUUACUCUUGGAAUAAUGCUAUAAGACUUUGGUUCUAAUGUAUUGGUGAUUGGGACCAGAGUAAUGAUUGAUA
rnacentral:rRNA from 1 species